GACGAACGCUGGCGGCGUGCCUAAUACAUGCAAGUCGAGCGAAGUUUUUCUGGUGCUUGCACCGGAAAAACUUAGCGGCGAACGGGUGAGUAACACGUAAAGAACCUGCCUCAUAGACUGGGACAACUAUUGGAAGCGAUAGCUAAUACCGGAUAAUAGCAUUAACUGCAUGGUUGAUGUUUAAAAGUUGGUUUUGCUAACACUAUGAGAUGGCUUUGCGGUGCAUUAGCUAGUUGGUGGGGUAAAGGCCUACCAAGGCGACGAUGCAUAGCCGACCUGAGAGGGUGAUCGGCCACACUGGGACUGAGACACGGCCCAGACUCCUACGGGAGGCAGCAGUAGGGAAUCUUCCGCAAUGGGCGAAAGCCUGACGGAGCAACGCCGCGUGAGUGAAGAAGGAUUUCGGUUCGUAAAGCUCUGUUGUUAGGGAAGAAUGAUUGUGUAGUAACUAUACACAGUAGAGACGGUACCUAACCAGAAAGCCACGGCUAACUACGUG
rnacentral:rRNA from 1 species